rnacentral:rRNA from 1 species
GGCGAACGGGUGAGUAACUCGUGAGCAACCUGCCCUUGACUCUGGGAUAACAGUUGGAAACAGCUGCUAAUACCGGAUACGACCCUGGAUGACAUCGUCCGGGGUGGAAAGCGCUUUAGCGGUCAAGGAUGGGCUCGCGGCCUAUCAGCUUGUUGGUGAGGUAACGGCUCACCAAGGCUUCGACGGGUAGCCGGCCUGAGAGGGCGACCGGCCACACUGGGACUGAGAUACGGCCCAGACUCCUACGGGAGGCAGCAGUGGGGAAUAUUGCACAAUGGGCGCAAGCCUGAUGCAGCAACGCCGCGUGCGGGAUGACGGCCUUCGGGUUGUAAACCGCUUUCAGUUCCGACGAAGCGCAAGUGACGGUAGGAACAGAAGAAGGACCGGCCAACUACGUGCCAGCAGCCGCGGUGAUACGUAGGGUCCGAGCGUUGUCCGGAAUUGUUGGGCGUAAAGGGCUUGUAGGCGGUUUGUUGCGUCGGAAGUGAAAACUCAGGGCUUAACCCUGAGCCUGCUUCCGAUACGGGCAAACUAGAGGGAUGCAGGGGAGAAUGGAAUUCCUGGUGGAGCGGUGGAAUGCGCAGAUAUCAGGAGGAACACCGGUGGCGAAGGCGGUUCUCUGGGCAUUUCCUGACGCUGAGAAGCGAAAGCGUGGGGAGCAAACAGGCUUAGAUACCCUGGUAGUCC